ensembl:snoRNA SNORD81 Small nucleolar RNA SNORD81
CAGAAUACAUGAUGAUCUCAUUGCAACUUGAACUCUCUCACUGAUCAUUUGAUGAUUUUAAAAGAUCUGAUAUUCUG